UUUGUCCGAUGAAAUAAACUCCUGACCAAGUCUUUUAUUUAUCAGUAAUUUCCUGUGUAAUCUUGUUAUAUGUGUUUCUUGUAGGCAAAUCAAGUCCAAUUGUUCCUUUUUUAAUAAAUGAAACACAGAUUUCCUUUUCUGAGGGGAGUUGAGACCAUUACAAUUCCAACUUAAUAGUUGCAGGGCCAUGAUGUAAUUAUUUUGGUUUUCCUCCAACGGCACCCAGUGCCUCUUCCUGUUCCGUCGGUGGUAUCACGUUUUUCAGGCGGUCUUUUAGUUCCAGAGAUAGUCUUGGUGUGUCUAAAGUUUCUCUUACAAUUGCUCUUAACUCUCCUGUAACUUUCUUCUGUAGGUCUUCUCCGUGGUCUCUCCAAAAUUUGUCUUUGUCGUCUUCCGAUCUUAUUUUUAUCUUCUUUCCUUUAUAACUAAAGGAUAGGCCUUGAGGAAAUUCCCACCUAAAGUUAAUUCCGUUACUUCUCAACAGGGUAACCAGGUCUUUGUGGUUAAACCUGAGAUCCAGAAGAUGUUUCGGAAUAUCCUUAAAUAUCUCCACUUUUGACUGUUGUAUUUCCAGUGUCUUCUGGAAAUGCAAACUCAAAAUCUUAUCUCUCUCUUCUUUUGUUCGGAGGGUGAUCAAACAAUCUCUCACCCUCUUUCCCCCUCCUUUUCCAAGUCUAAAAGCAUUCACUAUUUUAAAACUGUCUUUCCCCAAAUCCGGAUUCCAAAAAUCUAGGAAUUCCUGCGUAAGAAAUUCAACUAAGUUGUCUUUCUCCACUUCAGGUACGGCUCUGUGCCUUAAGUACACUUGUUUCUCCUUCAACUUGAUCAUAGACAGGAUUGACUUAUGGUCUUCAAGUUGUUUAUGUAGCGGUGGUAUCUUCUCUUGAACCUCUGCAACCGUAGCUGUAGCAAUUUCUUUAGCCUCUUCGGCAAUCUUACGUGUCGAAGCAGAUUCCUGUAAUAAUUUCUGAAUAGUUUCUGUAUUAGUAUUUACUUUCUGUCCCAAAUUAUUGAUACUUGCCGUAUUUUGGUUAAUACUUGUCGUAUUUUGAUCAAUCUUAUCCGAUGCCUCUGCUACUUGUUUACUUAUUCUAUCCAAAGAUUCAUUAAUUUUAGCCAGUGCCUGAGCCAGGGCAUCGUCACUUGCCAUACCAUUAGUUUUAGGUUGUGCCGAUGAGGUUGCUAUUGGAACUCCAGGGGGGCCAGAUGUCGAAGCUCUCCUUUGCAAUCCACCGUCUGUGCGAUAUACUCUGCCAGACCUUGUUGCUUGUAACAAGUCUAUCUUCUCUUUCCCAUCUGCCAUACCCCUCUAGAUAAAACUCAAGGUCAGUCACACAGUCAGAGUCAAAGUUGUUUUGAAAUGGAAAGUUCCAGGAAAACAGUGUGAGAAAUUUCCUCAGGCCAGCUGCAGUUGUAACUAGUUCCAAAUUCCACUAGGGGACACUGUAACAGUCAUAAAGUUCUUAAAGUAAUUUCUUCUCCCUUUAGUCCCCCAGUUCACCAGAAAGAUAACAAUCUAUCUUAGGCAGUUACUUUAGGACCAGGAGAUACCUAUCAGCAAUAUUGUAUCCAAAUUGUAUUUCAGAUGCAGAGCUAGCUGUCAAAAUACGUUCAAAGACAGUACAUUCUCUUAGGCUUUUUACUGGCACUGGGAACCCGUUCCAGGGGUUUUGAGCGGUGGUUUUUAUCUCCUCUUUCUCACUUCUUCUUAGGGAAAUAACGUUCAAAACUUCCCCCCUCCUCCCCCAAAUUGAGGGGGGGGGAAUCCCGGUUAGAUGAUCGGAUUGUAAUCCUUUUGCGCGUCUUUUAAAGCUUCCGCUUUCAAGUUCAAUGCUUUGUUCUAUCUACAAGAGCGGGAGGCAGACUUCCCUUUUAUACCUCUCCGCUUCGGCCAAUUACUUCCAAUUUUUGUACAGUUCCUUUAAUUACGUAGUAAUCCUACUCACGGAUCGUUAUUUUCGAAGCCAAAUUGUCAAGGAAGAAAGGCAGCGCUCUCCGGCAACAGCUACGCGGCUUCACUCCACAGAAGAAGCAGACGACUCACAGCAUAGCGCCACUUCCCGCUCCGUUCCGGAGCCCGUUGCCGGGUUCCUUCACGGAUUGGGGGCGCAGACAGUGCCCGCCGAGUCCCAGGGUCACAGGCUUCACCCGCCUGUGAUUUAAGGGGUCCCCGCUGCGCCGAGCGGUAUCCGACCCUAUUUCUGUGGAGCGGGUUCCCUCUGAAUCAGAGGGAAUCCGCCAUUACCGUUGGCGCCACCUCCGGAAGUC